UGGGGAAUAUUGGACAAUGGGCGAAAGCCUGAUCCAGCCAUGCCGCGUGUGUGAAGAAGGGCUUCGGAUUGUAAAGCACUUUAAGUUGGGAGGAAGGGCAUUAACCUAAUACGUUAGUGUUUUGACGUUACCGACAGAAUAAGCACCGGCUAACUCUGUGCCAGCAGCCGCGGUAAUACAGAGGGGGCAAGCGUUAAUCGGAAUUACUGGGCGUAAAGCGCGCGUAGGUGGUUUGUUAAGUUGGAUGUGAAAUCCCCGGGCUCAACCUGGGAACUGCAUUCAAAACUGACUGACUAGAGUAUGGUAGAGGGUGGUGGAAUUUCCUGUGUAGCGGUGAAAUGCGUAGAUAUAGGAAGGAACACCAGUGGCGAAGGCGACCACCUGGACUAAUACUGACACUGAGGUGCGAAAGCGUGGGGAGCAAACA
rnacentral:rRNA from 1 species